rnacentral:lncRNA from 1 species
GGGGGGGAGCACAGUGUGCAGUGAUUAUGCGCCUGCAGCAUACGGACCGCCCCGGCCAUCCCGGACCUUCCCUGUCCCUGGGCCUCAGAGCCCGCCUUAAGGGUGAAACAGGUGCUCUGCUGACCCCCCCCUCCCUCCGAGCCUGCCCAGGACCAGCCCCCCGGGGAGUCAGGCUCCCCCGGGAAGGGCUCUCCCCCGGGCACCUUGGCCUUUGCCCUCGCCGCGGGGAGGCCCCUCUCCCAGGGACAGCUCUGCCCCGGGGGUGGGGACUCCAGGGGCUCUGGAUGGGGCCCAGCAGCUUGGGCUGGGCCAGGAGAGGGAGGCCGGCGGCCCAUCCUCCCCCAAGAGAUGGAUGACCCCAGGAACGACUUGGAAGGAGGGAGCAGUCAUGAGGCACCCACUGUGAGCCCCACUGAGGCAGCCUCUCAGCCCAGCCCCCAACAGGUGGCACCUCACUUGAGCCCAAGGGGCUGUUGUGACUUCAGGAGUGUCGGGGGCUGGGGGACAGAACUGCUGAAUCCCCAUUUUGCCGAUGAGGGGAGCAGGUCAGCUGGUUUGGGCCCCGCCAUGGCUGGGGGGAGGCCCUGGGCCUGAGGAGUCGGGUCCUGUUCCCGUCAGGUUUCUCUCACCCGCCUCCUCGCCCGCCUCCCUCAGACCCCUGGCUCCCAUUGGGCCCUUAAGGGGUCAGGACAAAGCCCUGGGCCAGGCAUUCGAGGCUCGCCUUCAGAGCCAAAGCUUCUCCCUCCCAAGGUGGCCCUGAUCGCUACCUGCUGAAACCCUCCCCUCCUCCUCCCUCCCCUUGGCCCCUGCCGGGGGGCCGCCCCCAGGCCCUGCCCCCUUUACUCCGCACUCAGGGAUCUUUCGCUCCUGGGACCCCCUGGGUCGGGCCCAGGGUUCCCGCCGGUUUCGUGACUCCGCCUGCCCGACCCAGGUGGGCCCCAGUUCCCUCAAAGGGACCCUUGGUCGCUACUCAAGCCCUCACCUCUCUCUGAUUCUCCUUUACUGCGCUUUUCCAGUCUCCCCAGCUGAAUGUCGGGUUGCUCCUUUCACCAUCUCGACCCCAUUCCAUCCUAGCCACGGUCCCAUUUCCCCACCCCCCCCUCCCCUGACCCCCCCCCGGCACACCCUGGCCAGAGUGGCUGUGGGAUCCGCCCGCCCUUCCCCCAUCGCCCCCAGGGGUCCCAGGAGGCCAGAAGGGAAGGAAGGAGUGGGGCGGGGGGGGGGCUCCCCAGCUGACCGUAGCUUCUGGAGGUGACCCGGGAGGCCUACGGGGCUCCCCAAGCUUCAUUUCUCUGUAUUUUGCUUUCAUCGACGUGUGCCGUUGCUGGAACAGAAUGUGAACUCCGAGGCCAGGUUUUGCUCUCCGGUCCCGUGCCUAUAGAAGCGUGCCAGCAGAGAGUGGGCACUUGAUGCUCGUGAUCUGAACGAGAACAGUCCCGGCCUUUAGUAGCGUCACAGAGGUCAUCUCGGCCCCAAAGUCCGGCUGAUGAGGCAGUCCGGUCCCCCCUCCCCCCGCCCCAGACCUCAGCUCCUGCUCCGGGCCUUUGCAGGAGAAAUUGGAAUCGCCCCCUUUUUUUCUUUAGAUAAUAUCUCAGAAAAACAGGCCCCCAGACCCCAAGGGCUGUUUCCUGUUACCCAAACUCGCAGGAUUCUUUGGGUGUCUGAACAGGAGGGCUGAGGAGUGUCAGAAACAACAGCUUACCUUCGUGUAGCCUUUUAAAGGCGCAGCGGUCUUCCCAUCCAGCUUCUCCGCUGAACCUCUCAUGUCCUUCAAGGUGGAUGAUGGUUAAGGGUGAAACAGGUGCUCUGCUGACCACCCCCCUCCUCCCGAGCCUGCCCAGGACCAGCCCCCCGGGGAGUCAGGCUCCCCAGGGAAGGGCUCUCCCCCGGGCACCUUGGCCUUUGCCCUCUCCGCGGGGAGGCGUUCUCACCUCUGGUGUACAGAUGGAAAAACUGAGGCCCAGAGUAAAUGACUUGGUCAGUUAAAGGGCUUGAUGAUUUACAGAUGAGGAAGCUGAGCCCCAAAAUAAAUAGCUUCCCUGUGGUUAGUCAAAGGGCUAAGAAAUGGACAGAGAAGAUUUGAACCCAUUUUACAGAUGAGGAAGCUGAGCCCCAAAGUAAAUGACUUGGUUAGUCAAAUGGCUGGGAAAUGUACAGAGAACCCGUUUUACAGAUGAGGAGGCUGAGGCCCAGAAAGGCCAUUACUACUACAAAGGUAGUAACGACAGUGGUAUUUCCAUUGUCCCUCACUGCCUAUUCUGACUCCCAUUCUCUCCUCCCUGCCACGCUGGUGCCCUUUGGACCGGAAAGGGGCUGCUGGUUCCUGGCCCACCACUGACUCUGAGAGACAGGGCGUUUGGCUGGGCACCAGCUGGCACCAGGCUAGCUUCUUUUUCAUUUGACCCAUUUAUUUCAAGCCUCCCACGUGGAAAGCCCCGAGCUCCCCACAGGGACCCCCAGAGCUGCCCCAGAGCUUCUCGGAGGGUCAGGGGACGGAUGCCAAGGCGAGGACACAGGUGGACAGUCGGCAUCAGGCUCAGUGGCAGAGUCCCAGAGACCAGAGGCUUGCUGCCGUCCCCGAACGGGGCAUUUGUCGGGAAGAGCUCCCUCUGGCUCCGGGCACCGGCCUUGCCUCCGAGGGGCGACCGGGAGAGAACUCCAGGAGAAGGGUCUCUAUCGGGUGACUGAGGCCUUGAAUGCUAGACCAGGGGUUUUGAGCUCCAUGAUGUUCUUCUUUAAAAAUGAGGUUGAACAUUCACUUCACUUAAGGUUUUUUUUUUUUUGAGUUCAGAAUUUUCUUCCUCCUUCUACUGGAAAGGGGAGCGAUCUCGAUCACACCUGUGGAGCCGGGCACGGUACUUCCCUAGUAGCCACGUGGCAGAGAGAGAGAGCAGAGGAAAGCAGUGGCUUCUCUCUGCACUCAAGGCUCCCCCCUGGAGGGCUGCCCGUCCCACCGGAGCACUCAGCUGGUCGCUACGGUGGCUCUGGCUCAGCUCGCUCUGCUGGGCAUCAGCCCCUCCACUUCUUCCCUGGUUUUUCUGGACCCGGCCGUUCAGACAGCACAGUCCCAGCCCACGAUUCACCCCAGUGCUCCCGGCUUCCCCACAAGGACCAGCUCUCCGCCACCCCAAAAGGCGCUGCCCCGAAUGUUUGUGCUCCUCUGGGGCCUGCUCCUCUUUCUCUGAUCUUGGGGUGUGUGGGCCGUAGCCGGGAGCGAGGCCGGCAGUCUUGCAUUGGCCACUGUUCCAGAAGGUUCCCGCAUCGGCCGGGCCGGCUCCCGACCCACCCCGGAAGGGCUUGAGGAGCUCAAGGUCUGCACGUCCCUCCGGCCUUUUCCUGUUCUGUCCUUUUAGCCAGUCUGAUGUUGGGGGGGGGGGGGGGGGGCAGAGUUUAACUCCUAGCUCUGAUCGUGGUGAUUUGGAGCUUUUCCUGUGACUCUCGCCCAAGCUGCCCGUUGGGAGGCUCUGACCUUUAUUUGGGCCGUUCCCCCAGAGGUGAUGAGAAGCUUGAUGGCCUUUGAGCAGAGAGAGGGCAGGCCCUUGGCUGAGGUGCCUGGGCCAGAGGCGGGAAGACCACAACGGGGAGAGAGUUGGAUUGGGGGAGUUGGCGGGGCCCUCGAUGCCCUCCCUGUGUGACUAGGCUCAACUUUGCUUCCCCCCCCCCCUUUUCUUUUGUCAUGACAACCUUGGUCUUCCUCAGGUCAGCGUUCUAAGCACAUUUUAGUGUGGACAUUUCCUGGUGACAUCAUCAAAAGGGAUGCGGGUCAUCCCCUCGCCAUGAAUGGCAGGAGCCGUGACGGAGGCCAGGCCUGACCCUGGCUGGGUGACCCUGAAUGAAUCACUGCAGACCGCCUCCCCGGCCUCAGCACCCUGAGUCACAGCAGCUCCCGGCCUCCUCCUUUCCCUCUCUGUGUCUGUGUCUUUAUAUAUUUAUCUCUCUGUCUCUCUCUUUCUGUCUCUAUGUUUCUCUGUGUCUCUAUUUCUUUUCUCUCUGCCUCUUUUUCUCCUCUUUUCUGUCUCUGUCUCUCUCUGUCUCUCUUUCUGUGUGUCUCUGUCUCUUUAUAUGUUUAUCUCUCUGUCUUUCCUCUCUCUGCCUCUCUUUCUAUGUUUCUCUGUGUCUCUCUUUUCUCUCUGCCUCUUUUUCUCCUCUUUUCUGUCUCUGUCUCUCUCUGUCUUCCCCCCUUCCUCUCCCUCCCUCCUCCUUUUUCUGUGUCUCUGCCUCUAACUCUCUUCUCCUCUCUGUGUCUCUGUCUCUUUAUGUGUUUGUCUCUCUGUGUCUCUAUCUCUAUGUGUUUGUCUCUCUAUGUCUCUGUCUCUGCCUGUGUCUCUGUCCCUGUCUGUGUCUCUCCUCUCCUCUGUCUCUCUCUGUCUCUGUCUCUUUGCCAACCCUUCCCUCUGCCCCCGGGGAGCUCGCCAUCAUUAUUUCUAUGAAGCUAUUUUAAAAAGAAGAAACUGGGGCCCGGGCUGUCCCACUUUGCAGCCAUCGUGGGGCUCGUGACGGGUCCCUUGUCCCCGCUCGUGCCUGCAGGUGACAGGGCGUGGCCGGUGCUUGUCAGCUGCCAGGGGUGAAAAAACAAUGGCCUCCGUUGGGAAAUGUUCUACAAAUAAACACAGAGUUUGACGUGUGGGGCCGGUGGCUCCGGGAGUGUUUGUGGCCUGUAGGGAUCCUCUUCUCCUGGGCCUGACAUCACUGCCCAGGCCCCUCCCCGUUCAGCCCCCCCACUUCUCUGUGCCCCCCCCCCGGCUGGGGGCGGCUCGCCAUCCUUGUGCCUUUUCAUUCUGCUGAAGUUCAGUCGGGUCAGAGCCGGUAACGGGCACUCUGGACCUAGGCCCUUUGGGUGGAAGGGAGCCUGAGAGCGUCCCUCCCCUCCCGAGACCACAUCUGGCAUCGUUAGGGCCGCGGGCUCAGAGGACGCUCCCCGUAACCAGGGAGGGGCCGAGGGCUCGGUGGGAGAGGGAGAGCGCCCACAGUGUCUGGAGCCCGGGGGCUUCGUGGCCCCGGCUGAUGUGAGAGGUACAUAGCCAAGGGGACGUUUACCUUGGCCGACUGUGUCUAGAACGCCACGUGACAGCCCUGCCUGGGCCUCCCAGAAGUUCUGGCUCUUGGUCAGUGGCUCGGGGAAGGAGAGGUGGUGACUUGUCCCUCAGGGUCCCCUCAGCUCCCUACACUCAGAAGAAAGACCCAGGGCAGCUGGGUAGUAGAUAGAGCACCAGCCCCAAAGUCAGGAGGACCUGAGUUCAAAUUUGACCUCAGACAUUUAACACUUCCUUCUGUGUGACCCUGGGCAAGUCUCUUAACCCCAAUUGCCUCAGUAGAAAAAAAAGCAGAAGAAAGACUGGAAUUCACCCCCAGCUUCAGGACUCCAAGGCCCACUUUCUUUCCAUUAUGGCUUGUGCAUGUCCCACUAGAGCAUCUUUAUUCUAUAGGUGCAGAAACUGAGGCUGAGAGAAAUAAAAGCCCCGCCCCUCCCUUAACCCCCUGCUCAACUGAAUCAGUUCUGGUAGCUUUAUGGGAGAUUGGGAGCUGAGAUGGGCCCGAAGGCCCCUUCUGCAAAUGAGGAAACAAGGUGUAUAUGGCUCGGCUCCGGUCCCCCAGCCCUGUCACAGAGUCCGCCGCCCAGCGCCUUGAACUGUGAUUUGUGACACCAUGUGGGGCCUUGUGGCUGAGGGGGGGCCGCGCAAAAGGACGCUUUCUUAGCAGGAAGUGCUUGAUUUGUGGACUUAUUUUAUGUACCCGGAGACUCAGGGUCGUGGAAAAAAGGGAUCGCAGGGGGAAGCAGUUUAAGAAGGUCUGCUCUAAAGAAUGGGGAGGCGUGAGAGCCGUGUGCGUGUGCUUGUGUGCGCGUUUGUGCAGGUGUGUGUGCAGAUGCAUGUGCAGGUGUAUACACAGGUGUAUGCGCAGGUGUGUGUAAGUAUGUGUGCAGGUGUGUGUGCAGGUAUGUGCGCAGGUGUGUGUGUGCAGGUGUGUGCAGGUGUGUGUGCAGAUGUGUGUGCAGGUGUAUAUACAGGUAUAUGCACAGGUGUGUGUAAGUAUGUGUGCACAGGUGUGUGCGCAGGUGUGUGUGUAUGUGUACAGGUGUGUGCAGGUGUGUGUGUGCAGGUGUGUUCGCGGGUGCGUGUGCAGGUGCGAUCUGCUUGGUGGAAUCAAGACUGUGUGUAUGAAUCAAGGUCCCGAGACUUCCCUUGGGGUGAGAGGGAGGCUCACUGGCUUUUUUCCUGCCUGUUUCAUGGAGCCCAGGAAUGACAUGUGAAUCACUGCCUGCCUUUAGGAAUUCUUGGGUCUGCUGCUUCAUUUGCUCCCCGGGCUCACCUGGAAGGACAGAGCCUGCCCCGCUCAGUGUCUCUUUGGGAUCAGUCCCACUUAGGUUUUUGAAAAGCGGCAUGAAUGUUUCAGAGGGGAAACUGAGUCACCAAAAAGAGGCCUUUGUUUCUAGUAACAAUUUGUAAAACUCCUCCCAUCCCCCAGCCCCAGCCGCGUGCCAGGGGCUCCCUCAGUAGGUCUCAUAGUAGGGUCUCCCUCAGUAGAACAUAAAGUCCCUGCUGCCCUAGUGCCUGCUCUUGUCCUUGGCGCUGCCAGGAAAUUGUUGGGGGUGUUUUGUUUGGGGGGGGGGCUGCAGCCUGGGUCCUGCUCUUGUUAUCAUGUUAUCGUGACCCUUUAUUUUGCCCUCUUCUGAAGGGGAGCUGGUCAGAGGGCGGCUUCGCCAGCCAAGCGUGGAGCCAGGCCAGACGGGGCAGGGAGACAUCUCUUCUGACACCUGGAAAACUAACCCACGUGGCCCGUGUGUGCAAUUGUGUCUUUCCCUGGUGUGGCUGGGCCACGGCUGACUUGGGUAACCCUCUCUGCCAUCUGUCCCUGGUCAGAUGUGCCCGGGCUUGGAUCACGCCCCUGGUCCCCUUGUGAUCCAAGACUCUCCUGGCCGACAGGAGCCCGGGCCCAGGCUGCGCUCCUGCAAGAAAGCCCGACAUAACUGAAAGGGCACUGGCCUUGGGUCAAGAUCCGGAUUCCAGUUCUGCCACUGCAGCCUCCAUUUCCUUGUCUGUAAACGGAAGACUAGAUAAUCUCGGAGCUCCCUCUCAGCCCCAAAUCCUGUAUUUGGAGGCUUCUUUGAGCUGCAAAGCUUGACGGGCUCCUUGAGACUCAGUGGCCGAAAUGUUUUUUCUCGGGGGACAGUGAGCAUUUUGAGGGUGAAUGGAGUUGGAAAGUCCGAGUGGACCUGCUGCCGUUCCUUGGGUAAGACCACUGGGGGAAACGUAGUCAGUGGGUAAAGAGUGCUGGAAAUCAUGGCAGCAUUUCUUCUUUCCAGGUGACAUGGCUGCAUGGGGGCGGCCGGCAGAGAAGGGGCCCGGGUUUUCCAUCCCCUUGUGCUGGUCUGUUUCCGCUCUGGUUAGAUCCUUCCCUCAUCCCUGGCUUUGUUCAUCCCAGCCCAAGGCAGAAGAGGCCGUCGGGGCCUCCGUGGAGGAGGCCUGGGAGGGCUGCUGCCAGCGGGGCAAGGAGAGAGUGAGGGGUCCAGAGAAGUGACUCGGACCUUGUCAAAAGAGCUCAGAGAGGCCUCUUCAGCUUACCAAGCAAGCACUUCCUCUUCUCAUGGAGCAGGGCAGAAAUCUCUGCCUGGAAGGCCCGGCCGGACAAAGCCUCCAGCUCUAGUCAAACCUGCUUUCCCAGAAUGUUCAGGGAAGUGGAUUAAUGGGGAAUGGGCCAGGAAAUCUUCUGGGGGGAGAAUCAGAUAGAAAAUGAGCCUCCUCUUCUCUCAAAGACCUUAUCAUCUAAUCGGAAGAGUUUAGCUACCGGGCAGAUGGCCAGGCCCGGGGGUUCUGAGGGCACUCCGCCAGGCAAAUGGUGAUGUCAUGGCACAAGUGCCAAGAUAGGCGAUAGUACCAAAUGGUUUUUAGGACCAGCACUUUCUGUGAGAAGUCCUUAAGUAUAAGUUGACCUUUGGGAGAAGGAAUGGACUGUGGGCAGCCAAGGCUGGGGGCCUUUGACUAAAUCAAGUAGCACAGAUACUAAAAUUGGGGGCGAUACCAAGAAGUUGAGCAUGGCCCCUGUGCAAGGGGCACAAUAAGCACUUGUUCAUUGUUCCGAAGGAUCCAGCAGUGACCAGAUUGUUGUGCUUGGGGCUCUCCGGGGCUAGUUUGCUUAGGACUGAUCCUGGAAAUGGUUUUUUAAAGGAAACCCUUUUAGAUCAAGAUGUGUUUCUUUAGGAUUUUUUCCUAAAAGUUGCAGGGAGAGAAGAAAAAUUCUGGUCAAUUUAAAUUCUUCUGUAAUUCUGUCAAUUCUGUAUGUUCUCUUCUCUACUCCUAUCCCCCGAUCCGAUUUCUCUUCUUCCUGUCAGAGAAAUUUAGUUAUGUUGGUCUUUGUUUUAAAUAAGUUUUAAUUGAUGUCUUUUGUUUUUUACAUCAUCUUAAUUUCCCCUGGUAUCCCUCCCCUUCCCUCUUCCAGAGAGCCAACUCAAGAGUAUUUUUAAAAGGUUUUUAAAAAAAGAAAAAGAGGAAAAGGAAAUAAAAAUCACAGUUGAUUAAUAUAUAUUGAAAAUGUCUGAAAAUGUGCCUAGAAGUAAUAGCUGUGGACCUCCCACCUCCAUGAAGCGCAAGGUUGGGAAUGUCUUUUCAUAUUUCUUUUAAGCCAUCAUUUUUAAAAAACAAGUUUACGACAUUCGCUUCUGAUUUUUUUGCCUGAUUUUCUUUGCAUUUCCAUUGUUGUAGUCAUUGUGUGAAGUGUUUUCUUAGCUCUGCAUUGGUUCAUUUAGAUCUUUGUGUAGAUUUAUCAGACUUGUUAGAGCACAGGACUAUUUCAUUCUAUUCAGGGACCAAGCUCAGGUUAGCCAUUCCCCAGGCAAGGGACAUCGACUCUUGUUUCCACUUCUUUGCUCUCACAGAACGUGCUGCUAUAAGCGUUUUGGCACCUGCAGAGACUUUGUACUUAUCAGGAACUUCCUUGGAGCACAAGGCUGUAAUGGAAGCUCAGAGUCCAGGGAUACGGCUGUUUAAUUCACUUUUAUUUGCACGAUUCCAAAUUACUUUCCAAAAUGGCCUUACCAGUGUGCGGCUCUCCCAGCGUUGCAAUUGUGUGUCUUAUCAUUCCACAACCUGGAUUGUUGUCAUCUUAGCCAACUUGCUGGUUAUGACGUGAAACCGCAGAGUUGUUUUGGUUUCCUUUAAAGGUUUAUUAGUGAUUUGAAGUAUCCCUUCACGUAGUUGUCUUCUUUUGAGAUCUGUCUGUGUCUUUUGGGCUCUUGUCAAUUGGGGAAUAGCUUUGUAGAAGCUUUUCCGUUUCAUGAAGCCAAAGUUUUAUAUUUUUAUCCUAUGUAAAAGCGUCUAUCACUUGAUUGGUUAAGAAUACAUUAACUUCUGGAUAGACAAAAUUAAUGCAGCUACAAUCAGAAGGAAGUAGUUGAAUGGGAAAAUGAUUUUUUCAGAUUUUUCUGAUAAGGGUUUGGUAUCCGAGAUACGUGUUAACAGUUAACAUGUAUCACACACACACACACACACACACACACACACACACACACACUCAUCCCUGUCAUCUGCUUCUCUUCUAAUCUUUUUGAAUAUGAUCUUUGGUAUUAAGGUCACGCAUUCAUUCAUUCAGAAAGUAUUAUGGAAGGUGGUGUAAAGGGUUGAUCUAAUUUCGGUCGGGCUGCUUUCCAGUUUUCCCAGCAUUUUUAAUCAGACUGGGAUUCUUUCCUAAGUACUUUAUGUUUUCUGCUUUAUGGGAUGCUGGCUUAUUGGGUCCCAUUGUUUCUGAUUCCCUCUUGCCGGGUCUGGUCCUCUGAGCCCCCUUUCUGUUUUCUAACUGUUGGGUGACUGCUGUUUUAUGAGUUGGGAUCCGGAGCCUCGGUCUUUAGAAAAAGACGGGAUGGUGACUUUCACUGGGAUCUGUGUUGUGGCCGAAAGGCUCACCUGCAGGUGAUAGACAUCUUGGCUUUGUCAUCGCUCAGAUAGGACGGUUGUCCUGCUUUCCUUGUUUCCCCUCAGUCCUGAACAAGAUGCUCCCGUGCGAAUUCCCCUUGCCCUUCUCCUGGGAAGAGACCAAGAGGAGCUCUGGUCAAAGACACUCCCUGCCCAGUUGGGUCUUUGGGGUGCGGUCGCCUUGCCUGCCCCUCCUCCCUCCUGGCCCCCCAGCGAUGUCUGUGCUGGAGGCCAAGCUCUGGAGAGUUGCCUGAAACUUCUCAGCUUUUGAGCUUCCCGCCCAAGGGCUGCCCGAGUCUUUCUCAGGCCUUGGUGUUUGCUCGUUUGGAGAUGGUCCCCAUUUGACAGACUGAGCGGAAAAUAAGGUGGAGGACAGAUGGGAGAAGGUGGAGCCUGGAGGUGGGGAGAUGCAGUCCUGCUGGAGAGGCCUGAUAAGGCCCUGACCUGGAUCAGUGCCAUGGAGUCAGAGAUGGGGGGGAGAAGGGGGCCUGGGCCCGCCGGGGCAGCUGAUUAGCCACCAGGGAGAGGCAAGGACAGAGGGUUGUAAUGGGCUGAGGUUUGAGCUGAUGCACUGAGGUCCCAAGUACAUGAGGCUAGAUAGUAAUUGGGCUAUACUCUAUUAAUAUACAUGAUUGGAUAAAGAAUGGUCCCUGCCCACUCUCCGUGCAAGUCCUGAUGUGUUGUAUAGGAAAUGACGAUUUUGGUGGGUGGAGGCAGAGAGAGAGGGAGGAAGACAAGUGGGGAGAGAUU